GGUCGGUUAGCUCAGUUGGUUAGAGCGUCGUAUGUCUUCCUUCCCACCACCCAUCGAUCAAUAUUAGUGGCUAACAUGCUCCAGGUACUAAUACAGGAUUCUCACUGUAUCAAGUAAUGCGAAGGUCAUGGGUUCGACCCCCAUACUGACCA